rnacentral:tRNA from 1 species
GGGGCUGUGACGCAGCGGUAGCGUGCUUCCUUAGCAAUGUAGCAUUGUCAAGAUUGGAAGAAGUCAUGGGUUCGAGUCCUAUCUGCUCCA